rnacentral:rRNA from 1 species
CCCAGCAGUGCGUUGCUUUGCGGCGUGCGCUGUUGGGGCCAGCCUUGAUGAAUUAUUCACCCGUGUCUUUUGCGUACUUCUUGUUUCCUUGGUGGGUUCGCCCACCAUAGGACAAACCAUAAACCUUUUGUAAUUGCAAUCAGCGUCAGUAAAAAAAUUAAUAAUUACAACUUUUAACAACGGAUCUCUUGGUUCUGGCAUCGAUGAAGAACGCAGCGAAAUGCGAUAAGUAGUGUGAAUUGCAGAAUUCAGUGAAUCAUCGAAUCUUUGAACGCACAUUGCGCCCUUUGGUAUUCCAAAGGGCAUGCCUGUUCGAGCGUCAUUUGUACCCUCAAGCUUUGCUUGGUGUUGGGCGUCUUGUCUCCAGUUCGCUGGAGACUCGCCUUAAAGUAAUUGGCAGCCGGCCUACUGGUUUCGGAGCGCAGCACAAGUCGCGCUCUCUUCCAGCCAAGGUCAGCAUCCACAAAGCCUUUUUUCAACUUUUGACCUCGGAUCAGGUAGGGAUACCCGCUGAACUUACACAUAUCAC